rnacentral:rRNA from 1 species
UACGGAGGGUGCAAGCGUUGUUCGGAUUUAUUGGGCGUAAAGAGCGUGUAGGCGGUUUUGCAAGUCAGGUGUGAAAUCCCGGGGCUUAACCCCGGAAUUGCGCCUGAAACUGCAGGACUUGAGUACGGGAGAGGUAGGUGGAAUUCCUGGUGUAGAGGUGAAAUUCGUAGAUAUCAGGAGGAACACCCGUGGCGAAAGCGACCUACUGGACCGAUACUGACGCUGAGACGCGAAAGCGUGGGGAGCAAACAGG